UAAGGAAUAUUGCGCAAUGGGGGAAACCCUGACGCAGCAACGCCGCGUGGAGGAUGACACUUUUCGGAGCGUAAACUCCUUUUAUCAGGAAAGAAUAAUGACGGUACCUGAUGAAUAAGCACCGGCUAACUCCGUGCCAGCAGCCGCGGUAAUACGGGGGGUGCAAGCGUUACUCGGAAUCACUGGGCGUAAAGGACGCGUAGGCGGAUUAUCAAGUCUUUUGUGAAAUCUAGUGGCUUAACCACUAAACUGCUUAGGAAGCUGAUAGUCUAGAGUAGGGGAGAGGUAGAUGGAAUUCUUGGUGUAGGGGUAAAAUCCGUAGAGAUCAAGAAGAAUACCCAUUGCGAAAGCGAUCUGCUGGAACCUAACUGACGCUGAGGCGUGAAAGCGUGGGUAGCAAACAGG
rnacentral:rRNA from 1 species